AGUGGCGGACGGGUGAGUAACGCGUGGGUAACCUGCCUCACACUGGGGGACAACAGUUAGAAAUGACUGCUAAUACCGCAUAAGCGCACAGGACCGCAUGGUCUAGUGUGAAAAACUCCGGUGGUGUGAGAUGGACCCGCGUUUGAUUAGCUGGUUGGUGGGGUAACGGCCUACCAAGGCGACGAUCAAUAGCCGACCUGAGAGGGUGACCGGCCACAUUGGGACUGAGACACGGCCCAAACUCCUACGGGAGGCAGCAUG
rnacentral:rRNA from 1 species